rnacentral:rRNA from 1 species
GACGAACGCUGGCGGCGUGCCUAAUACAUGCAAGUCGAACGCAUUUUCUUUCACCGUAGCUUGCUACACCGACAGAAAAUGAGUGGCGAACGGGUGAGUAACACGUGGGUAACCUGCCCAUCAGCGGGGGAUAACACUUGGAAACAGGUGCUAAUACCGCAUAAUUCCAUUUACUGCAUGGUAGAUGGAUGAAAGGCGCUUUUGCGUCACUGAUGGAUGGACCCGCGGUGCAUUAGCUAGUUGGUGGGGUAACGGCCUACCAAGGCUGCGAUGCAUAGCCGACCUGAGAGGGUGAUCGGCCACACUGGGACUGAGACACGGCCCAGACGCCUACGGGAGGCAGCAGUAGGGAAGCUUCGGCAAUGGACGCAAGUCUGACCGAGCAACGCCGCGUGAGUGAAGAAGGGUGUCGGAUCGUAAAACUCUGUUGUUAGAAAAGAACAAGGAUGAGAGUGGAAAGUUCAUCCCUUGACGGUAUCUAACCAGAAAGCCACGGCUAACUACGUG